rnacentral:rRNA from 1 species
GAUGAACGCUGGCGGCGUGCUAAUACAUGCAAGUCGAACGGGCUGCCAUAAGGCAGCCAGUGGCGAACGGGUGAGGAGCACAUGGGGAACCUGCCCGUCAGAGGGGGACAACAGCUGGAAACGGCUGCUAAGACCGCAUAGGCUCAAGGAGGGCAUCCUCGUUGAGUUAAAGUGUCCUUUCGGGGACAGCUGACGGAUGGACCUGUGGCGCAUUAGCCAGUUGGCGGGGUAAAGGCCCACCAAGGAGACGAUGCGUAGCCGGCCUGAGAGGGCGGACGGCCACACUGGGACUGAGACACGGCCCAGACUCCUGCGGGAGGCAGCAGUAGGGAAUUUUCGGCAAUGGGGGGAACCCUGACCGAGCAACGCCGCGUGAGUGAGGAAGGCUUCGGGCUGUAAAGCUCUGUUGCAGAGGAAGAACGGGAGAGCGAGGAAAUGCGCUUUUCGUGACGGUAUCUGCGAGAGGGCCACGGUAA